GACGAACGCUGGCGGCGUGCUUAACACAUGCAAGUCGAACGCUGAAGCUCAGCUUUUGUUGGGUGGAUGAGUGGCGAACGGGUGAGUAACACGUGAGUAACCUGCCUCCUUCUUUGGGAUAACGCCCGGAAACGGGUGCUAAUACUGGAUAUUCACUGGUCUUCGCAUGGGGGUUGGUGGAAAGGGUUUUUCUGGUGGGGGAUGGGCUCGCGGCCUAUCAGCUUGUUGGUGGGGUGAUGGCCUACCAAGGCUUUGACGGGUAGCCGGCCUGAGAGGGUGACCGGUCACAUUGGGACUGAGAUACGGCCCAGACUCAUACGGGAGGCAGCAGUGGGGAAUAGUGCGCAAUGGGCGCAAGCCUGAUGCAGCGACGCCGCGUGAGGGAUGGAGGCGUUCGGGUUGUGAACCUCUUUCGCUCAUGGUCAAGCCGCAACAAUGGUUGUGGUGAGGGUAGUGGGUAAAGAAGCGCCGGCUAACUACGUG
rnacentral:rRNA from 1 species